ACCUCAAGUCAAGUAAGAAUACCCGCUGAACUUAAGCAUAUCAAUAAGCGGAGGAAAAGAAACUAACAAGGAUUCCCUUAGUAACGGCGAGUGAACUGGGAAGAGCUCAAAUUUUAAAUCACCUAGGUGAGUUGUAAUUUGAAGAAAGUGUUUUGAUGCUCUGGUUUAGCCUAAAUCCUUUGGGAUAAGGUAUCAUAGAGGGUGAGAAUCCCGUUCAUGACUAAACCGUGAGUGUCACCUAAUUCACUUUCCAAGAGUCGAGUUGUUUGGGAUUGCAGCUCAAAAUGGGUGGUAAAUUUCACCUAAGGCUAAAUAUGUGCAAGAGACCGAUAGCGAACAAGUACCGUGAGGGAAAGAUGAAAAGAACUUUGAAAAGAGAGUUAAAUAGUACGUGAAAUUGUUGAAAGGGAAACGAUUGAAGUCAGUCAUGCUUGCAGGGAAUCAACAAAGUGGUUUUCUUCCUUGUGCACUUCCUUGCUUGGCAGGUUAGCAUCAAUUUUGAUUGUCAUUAAAGAACUGGGGGAAUGUGGCUUCUUCGGGAGUGUUAUAGACCCUGGUAGAUGUGGCGAUUGGGAUUGAGGAUUGCAGCGAAUGCUUCUUGGCUAGUCACCUGGCUUCUGACGGUUACCUUGCUUCCGAUAGCUUGCUAACGGUGGUGAGACUCGAUUGUCUAGAUGUUGGAGUGAACAUAAAUUCGCUAAGGAUGCUGACGUAAUGGCUUUAAACGACCCGUCUUGAAACACGAACCAAGGAGUCUAACAUGUGUGCGAGUGUU
rnacentral:rRNA from 1 species